rnacentral:tRNA from 1 species
GUUUUAAUAAUUUAAAUAUAAAAUAUUAGUCUUGUAAACUAAAAUUAGGGAUUUUACCUUUAAAACU